rnacentral:rRNA from 1 species
UACGUAGGGUGCGAGCGUUAAUCGGAAUUACUGGGCGUAAAGCGUGCGCAGGCGGUUUGUUAAGACAGGUGUGAAAUCCCCGGGCUUAACCUGGGAAUGGCGCUUGUUACUGGCAGGCUAGAGUGUGUCAGAGGGAGGUAGAAUUCCACGUGUAGCAGUGAAAUGCGCAGAUAUCUGGAGGAACACCGGUGGCGAAGGCGGCAUCCUGGACCGGUAUUGACGCUGAGGCGCGAAAGCUAGGGGAGCAAACGGG